UUUAUAUUAAAGUAUCUUUACUUUUACUCAAGUAGUGACAAUUUUCCCCACCACUUAUAAAUGGUAAACUGAUAGAUUUGAGAGAUUGUGGGGCCCCUUAUCUGUAACUCAAGUCUGUGGGGCCCUUAUCUCUAACUCACGUCUGUGGGGCCCUUAUCUCUAACUCACGUCUGUGGGGCCCUUAUCUCUAACUCACGUCUGUGGGGCCCCUUAUCUCUGUAACUCACUUCUGUGGGGCCCUUAUCUCUGUAACUCACGUCUGUGGGGCCCUUAUCUGCGAUGGAGACGCAGCUGAGUAUGAUGACAUCAAGUCGCUUGGGGGCGGUGCCCGACUCGCCCACGCACUUCAGCAGCUGGCGCCGGCCCGGUACUGACGCUGGCGCACAAGCCUCUGGCCCGCACGGCACGUAUACCGUCAAGGCUUCCAGCUGGAAGUCUAAGAGGAGGGAGAGGGAGGGAGGAAGAGGAAAGAGAGGAGGAAGAGGAGGAGAAGGGGGAGGGGAGGAGAGGAAGAGGAGGAGAGAGGAGAGAGGAGGAGGAGAGUGAGGAGGGGAGGAAGAGAGAGGAAGGGAUAAAAAACUAACUGUUUUUAAUUAAC
rnacentral:lncRNA from 1 species